rnacentral:rRNA from 1 species
AACGAACGCUGGCGGCGUGUCUUAAGCAUGCAAGUCGAGCGGCAAGGAAGUGCUUGCACUUCCCUAGAGCGGCGGACUGGUGAGUAACGCGUGGGUGAUCUACCUCGGGGUUGGGGAUAGCCAUUAGAAAUAGUGGGUAAUACCGAAUACGCUUCCAGGGCUACAGCCUUGGAAGGAAAGGCGCUACGGCGCCGACCUGAGAUGAGCCCGCGUCCCAUUAGCUAGUUGGUGAGGUAACGGCCCACCAAGGCGAUGAUGGGUAGGCGGCCUGAGAGGGUGUACGCCCACAUUGGGACUGAGAUACGGCCCAAACUCCUACGGGAGGCAGCAGCUAAGAAUAUUCCGCAAUGGACGAAAGUCUGACGGAGCGACGCCGCGUGGAUGAUGAAGGCCGGAAGGUUGUAAAAUCCUUUUGUCGGGGAAGAAUAAGCGUGGGAGGGAAUGCCCGCGUGAUGACAUGAACCGGCGAAUAAGCCCCGGCUAACUACGUGCCAGCAGCCGCGGUAAAACG